GUCCGCAGUAGGGGAGACGGAGCGCGAUGCGAUUGCAAUAAAAAAAAAAUGGGCGGACGUAAAAUCCCUCGUAAAGAAAAAAGCUGCUGAGAGGACGAGGGAGACGAGGAAGACAGGAGGAGGGACGUCCUCUGUUAAACUCGACCCUUUGGAGGAGAAGAUUUUGGGGAUGAUAGGGGAAUCUCUGGUAGGAGGCGUUCAAGGAGGGGUGGACACUGGAGACCACAGCUGUAUGCAGCUGCUACAGCAGACACAAACGGAUGCUAUGGUGGACCUUGAUUUGAUGACUGAAGACAUUGUCCCCCCCCACAUUGAACUUGAAGUUCAACAAAAUAAUUCUGAAGAAGAUCUUAGUCUCUCACAACUAAUUUCAGAAUCCAUCCUCCAGCCCACACCAGUGAUGACACCCAGCAUGGAGGACAUGAUCUGUAUUCAAAGAGACCUUUUGGAGGAAGUGCGAGGACUUAGAAGGGUUCAAGAGCAACUUCUACUGGUGGAGAGAGAGAAACUGCUCUUGGCCAAAGCCAAAUUUGAGCUAAAAAAAAAGGAAUAUUAGGAAGAAUGUAUUAGUAUUAGUAAUAAUAUAUUAGAGUAUUAUAGAGUAUAUUAGAGU